AGGCCGUGGAGCCGAUAAGCAGAGAUGAUUUCCCGUCGGAGUUUGUAUUUGGUUCAGGGACCUCAGCUUAUCAGGUUGAAGGGGCAGCGUUCGAGGAUGGAAGGUCUCCUAGCGUCUGGGAUACUUUCGCUCACUCUGGAAGAGUGGUGGAUAAAAGCAAUGGUGACGUAGCCUGCGAUGGGUAUCACAAAUAUAAGGUGACUUUACAUUUAGCUCUCAGUCCAGUAUUAUUUUUCUCAUUUUCUUAUCAUUGUUGGGAUUUCACAUGAAAGCAAUGAUCCCACAAGUUAGUAGUUUGAUGUGAAGAUUUAUAACGACUUGGACAUAUUUUUCCUUGCUAGUUAGCUUUUAAAAGGCGAGUUCUAUCUGUCCCAACAAAUGGUAUCAAAGUUGAAGUGUGGAAACUCCAAUGUGCCUCCAAGGAUGGAAAAUCCCUCAGAAAAUAUCUCAAUUCCCAUGUGUGAUCCGUGGAUAAGGAGAUUGUAGGAGUUCACGUAAAAACAAUAAUCCUGCAUCGGAUUUGAGUAACCUAAUACGGAGGCUUAUAAGGACUUAGACACCCUCUCCUUUAUAGAUGAUUUUUAAGGGCAAGUUCUAUAUGAGUCGUAAGAAGUGGUAUCUAAAGUGAGUUUAGCAAUGCAGUA